AGAGUUUGAUCCUGGCUCAGGAUGAACGCUGGCGGUCUGCUUAACACAUGCAAGUCGAACGGAACCUUUCGGGGUUUAGUGGCGGACGGGUGAGUAACACGUGAGAAUCUGCCCUUGGGUUCGGGACAACAGUUGGAAACGACUGCUAAUACCGGAUGUGCCGAAAGGUAAAAGCUUUAGUGCCCGGGGAUGAGCUCGCGUCUGAUUAGCUAGUAGGAGUGGUAACGGCACCCCUAGGCGACGAUCAGUAGCUGGUCUGAGAGGAUGAUCAGCCACACUGGGACUGAGACACGGCCCAGACUCCUACGGGAGGCAGCAGUGGGGAAUUUUCCGCAAUGGGCGCAAGCCUGACGGAGCAAGACCGCGUGAGGGAAGAAGGUCUGUGGAUUGUAAACCUCUUUUGAUGGGGAAGAAGACAGUGACGGUACCCAUCGAAUCAGCCUCGGCUAACUCCGUGCCAGCAGCCGCGGUAAUACGGAGGAGGCAAGCGUUAUCCGGAAUUAUUGGGCGUAAAGCGUCCGUAGGUGGGUUAUCAAGUCAGUUGUUAAAUAGUGAAGCUUAACUUCAUAGAGGCGACUGAAACUGAUAGUCUAGAGAGUGGUAGGGGUAGAGGGAAUUUCCAGUGUAGCGGUGAAAUGCGUAGAUAUUGGAAAGAACACCGGUGGCGAAAGCGCUCUACUGGGCCAUUACUGACACUGAGGGACGAAAGCUAGGGGAGCGAAAGGGAUUAGAUACCCCUGUAGUCCUAGCCGUAAACGAUGGAUACUAGGCGUUGCCCGUAUCGACCCGGGCAGUGUCGUAGCCAACGCGUUAAGUAUCCC
rnacentral:rRNA from 1 species